rnacentral:rRNA from 1 species
AUUGAACGCUGGCGGCAUGCCUUACACAUGCAAGUCGAACGGCAGCACGGGAGCAAUCCUGGUGGCGAGUGGCGAGCGGGUGAGUAAAGUAUCGGAACGCGCCCAGUCGUGGGGGAUAACGUAGCGAAAGUUACGCUAAUACCGCAUACGAUCUAUGGAUGAAAGCGGGGGAUCGCAAGACCUCGCGCGAUUGGAGCGGCCGAUAUCAGAUUAGGUAGUUGGUGGGGUAAAGGCUCACCAAGCCGACGAUCUGUAGCUGGUCUGAGAGGACGACCAGCCACACUGGGACUGAGACACGGCCCAGACUCCUACGGGAGGCAGCAGUGGGGAAUUUUGGACAAUGGGCGCAAGCCUGAUCCAGCCAUGCCGCGUGCAGGAUGAAGGCCUUCGGGUUGUAAACUGCUUUUGUACGGAACGAAAAGGUUUGACUUAAUACGUUGGACUCAUGACGGUACCGUAAGAAUAAGCACCGGCUAACUACGUGCCAGCAGCCGCGGUAA